ACGGGAGGCAGCAGUGGGGAAUAUUGCACAAUGGGCGGAAGCCUGAUGCAGCGAUGCCGCGUGAGGGAAGAAGGUUUUCGGAUUGUAAACCUCUGUCAAGAGGGACGAUAAUGACGGUACCUUAGAAGGAAGCUCCGGCUAACUACGUGCCAGCAGCCGCGGUAAUACGUAGGGAGCGAGCGUUAUCCGGAAUUACUGGGUGUAAAGGGAGCGCAGGCGGUAACGCAAGCCAGAGGUGAAAACCCGGGGCUCAACCCCGAGGAUUGCCUUUGGAACUGUGGAACUGGAGUGCUGGAGGGGCAGGCGGAAUUCCUGGUGUAGCGGUGAAAUGCGUAGAUAUCAGGAGGAACACCGGUGGCGAAGGCGGCCUGCUGGACAGUAACUGACGCUGAGGCUCGAAAGCGUGGGGAGCAAACAGGAUUAGAUACCCUGGUA
rnacentral:rRNA from 1 species